UAAAGUAAACAGUGUAUCGUUAAUGUUUUACAAUGAGUGCUAACCAAUUCUUGGACCAGUUUUAUGCCACUAUAUUGGAAUCGUUUUGCAAUAUACCUCUACCAGCGGAUUCAUUUAGUUUGCUAACAACACCAGUGGAAGGUGAUAGUGCUGAAGAACAUGAUACGACCGACGAAAUACUCAAUGAUCAAGAUGAAAUCUUGAGCCAGGAGGAGAUGGAUGACAUUUUGUCUGAGUUAAUCGAUAAGGACAUGAACGGAUUUUCACCAGAACUGUGUGCGCUGGCAGGUUGCCCUAGUGUUGAUAAUACUUCUCAUUGUAAUCAGCCGGCGGCGGAACCAUCAGAACUGACUUCAACGUUUGCAUCCAACACUAAUGACAAGCAACCGUUGCGUGUAGUACCGCUCAGUAUUGCAGCAGCACCGCCAACUGAGUUGCCUGAGUGGUUAGUUAAAGCAGAAACAUUCGACGAUGCAACACGUCAGCUUUGUUCGAUCAGAGUGCAGGAUUUCAGUGCAAAACGUAUGGAGCUGUUGUACAUGCACGUGGGUGAGAAGUUGCCUGAACCGGAGAAAACGAAUACAAUGCAGAACGACAUAAAGACAUCCGUCGAUUCGGUAAGCAAAGGCAGGAAUGAAAAUAUGAACCCGAAUGUACUACCACACCAAACGGCCAUAAAGUAUAGUGAUGAGAAUUCGCUGAACACUCCGAAGGAGGGUAGUUUUACGCUAGUAAGUGAAAAACUUCGAAACCAUCUGUACAAACUGUCCAACAUCAAUGUGCCGGUGCUGGGAAACUCGAAUCGGUCGGGUUCAAACGUAGCGUCAAAAUCUCGUCGAAAACAAACACUAACUUCCUACAGAAAUAUUGCCGAAUCGACGGUAGUUGAACCCAAAGCAAUUGCUAGUAGAAAAGUGCCAAUACGGUUGCCUGCGAGGACUACCGUAACGUCGAGAAAUGUUGUAGGUGCUGCUACAGAACAGUGUACGCCAUUUAACGAAAUAAACGCAAACACGCCUAGUUCUAGACGUCUAGUUCAUCAAAACAUCGAACACAGUUUGAAGAAAAAAAGGCGUUAUAGCAAUUAAAUAAUCAACUACAAUGAUUCACUGGACAAAAACAAACGUAAACAUGGAGAAAAUUACUAAAGCCCAGGAACCAAUGCCACAUCCUGUGCUGUACGUAGUGGAGCUUUAAUUAUUUCUUUAGCAAAUUAUUAUUAAUAUUGUUUGGACGGUUAAUUUAUAA